rnacentral:rRNA from 1 species
GACAGAGGGUGCAACCGUUGUUCGGAAUUACUGGGCGUAAAGCGCGUGUAGGCUGCUCCGCAAGUCGGAUGUGAAAGCCCUGGGCUCAACCUAGGAAGUGCAUUCGAAACUUCGGAGCUGGAGUCCUGGAGAGGAAGGCGGAAUUCUCGGUGUAGAGGUGAAAUUCGUAGAUAUCGAGAGGAACACCGGUGGCGAAGGCGGCCUUCUGGACAGUGACUGACGCUGAGACGCGAAAGCGUGGGGAGCGAUCCGG